UUAUCUCAGGGUAUCCUGGCUUCGUUCUGCUGCCAAAUAACCAGGAGACAAAAAAAUAUCCCUCCUGGAGGAGGAGGGUCAUGCUGCUUCAGCUGGGGUGCACUCCUCAGGCUCUUUUUUGGGAUGUCACCAUGCAUUUAAAGACCCGCCUGGCCAAUGGGCCUUUGCUCUUCUUUCUCUCCCUCCCAUUCCUGGGUAACCACAGCUACCCCACCUGGAAAACCAGCCCCUUGUUAGCAAAGUUGGGAUUAUCUGGCCCUGCAGACAACGUGCCUCAUGCUUGGGCUGUCUCGGAGAUGCCUCUUGACCCUGAUGUCCAUGUCUGGAGAUGUUUCCUGGGGACAGAACUGUGAGCUCACAAAACUGUGAGCUCGUGGACCAUCACCCAGGAGAGCCAGGUUUGCUUGGCUACUUCAGAGCAGCCUCUCUGAGACAAGGAAUUAGCUGGAACAUGGGAAAAACACUCUCUCAAUUCUAAUUGCAGGAUGGUUAGGGAUACAGAGACACUUCUAGCAAUGUCUCAUGCACAUCAUGAGGGCAAGAUGGUUGAUUGAGCAGAACAAAGGCUGGAGAGCAUGGCAUAGGGCUGCACAGCAGAGAUCAUUGGUCCAGAGUGGAGGCACCUGGUCCUGAGCCAGGACCCCAACCUCAGAGUCCAGACCCCAGAUCCAGAGGAGAGAUCUUUUGUCUGGAGCAGGAAUCUCAAAACAGAGCAGACACUCCGGAGCAGAGACCCCAGAAC